ensembl:lncRNA
GGGGAAGACUCAAGACCAGCAAAGGGGAAGAGAGCCAGCAGGGAGAGAGAUGCAACAAUUCUCGACUGUUUGGAGUUCCUCCGUCCAGUGCUCUGUGUUGGACCCUAAGUGCACACCACUGAAUGUGAAACAUUGUUCUGCAACUUGCUUUCUUCUCUUUCCAUAUCUUGGAGGUAUGAAAGAAACCUUAACACCACAUAAAUAGAAAGGUUUUUUUCUUUCAGUAAGGAAAGUGAGAGUGAGGGAAUGUAAUCGAAUGAACCCAACAUUUAUCACAGAGAAUGACAAUGACAAGACCACAGUUCAACUAGCUGAUACAAUGCCUUUGGAACCCAUCCUCAGGAUAAAUUCAGUGAAAAGCACGCUGACUUUCAAAGACUCAAUAUUUUUACUUGAUGACUAUGGAGGCAAAAUACUUUCCUUCAUCUUGUGGCAACAGAAGACAAUAAAAGUGACAAUAUUCUGUUUUUCUUCAAUUCUCUCUUCAUUUUAUAUUAGCUAUGGUUAGAGGUAACAUCGGAGAAGGCAAUGGCACCCCACUCCAGUACUCUUGCCUGGAAAACUCCAUGGACAGAGGAGCCUGGUGGGCUGCAGUCCAUGGGGUUGCUGAGAGUCGGGCAUGACUUCACUUUCACUUUCACUUUUCACUUUGUGCAUUGGAGAAGGAAAUGACAACCCACUCCAGUGUUCUUGCCUGGAGAAUCCCAGGGAUGGGGGAGCCUGGUGGGCUGCUGUCUAUGGGGUCACACAGAGUCGGACAUGACUGAAAUGACUUAGCAGCAGAGGUAACAUAAUGAAAUUGCCUAAAAAACUCUAGAAAGCAAGGUGAAACAAUCAUUUUCUUUGUAUCGAAAGAUACUUAGCCAAUGUCUUUCUUUCUCUCUUUUCAUUUUCAGCUGCAUUUGGUCUUUGUUGCUGCACGAGGGCUUUCUCUAGUUACGGUGAGCGGGGCUUGUGUUGCACAGGCUUCUCAUUGUGGUGGCUUCUCUUGUUACAGAGCCUGCAGUCUAGGGUUAUCAGGCUUCAGUAGUUUCAGCAUGUGGGCUCAGUAGUUGUGGUACACAGGCUUAGUUACCUUGCAGCAUGUGGGAUCUUUCCAGACCAGGGAUUGAACCUGUGUCCCCUGCAUUGGCAGCUGGAUUCUUAGUCACUGGACCGCCAGAGAAGCCCCAUAGCCCAUUUCUUAUUCUUGUUAUAUCUGUGCCCUGUCCUCAUGGGGCUAUUUCCUAAUAAGGAAUUAACUUGGCUGAGGAGGAGCCUGGGACAUUGACCUGACAAUUUCAUUUGCUUCCCUGGUGGCUCAGAUGGUAAAGAAUCUGCCUACA